GACGAACGCUGGCGGCGUGCUUAACACAUGCAAGUCGAACGGAAAGGCCCUGCUUUUGUGGGGUGCUCGAGUGGCGAACGGGUGAGUAACACGUGAGUAACCUGCCCUUGACUUUGGGAUAACUUCAGGAAACUGGGGCUAAUACCAGAUAGGAGCUCCUGCUGCAUGGUGGGGGUUGGAAAGUUUCGGCGGUUGGGGAUGGACUCGCGGCUUAUCAGCUUGUUGGUGGGGUAGUGGCUUACCAAGGCUUUGACGGGUAGCCGGCCUGAGAGGGUGACCGGCCACAUUGGGACUGAGAUACGGCCCAGACUCCUACGGGAGGCAGCAGUGGGGAAUAGUGCACAAUGGGCGGAAGCCUGAUGCAGCAACGCCGCGUGCGGGAUGACGGCCUUCGGGUUGUAAACCGCUUUCGCCUGUGACGAAGCGUGAGUGACGGUAAUGGGUAAAGAAGCACCGGCUAACUACGUG
rnacentral:rRNA from 1 species